AUCAAACGCUGGCGGCGCGCUUAACACAUGCAAGUCGAACGAGAAAGGGGAGCAAUCCCUGAGUACAGUGGCGUACGGGUGAGUAACACGUGGAUGAUCUAUCUCUUAGUGGGGAAUAACCUUGGGAAACCGAGGAUAAUACCGCAUAAGCUCGAGAUGAGGAAAGCAGCUAAUGCGCUGAGAGAGGAGUCCGCGGCCCGAUUAGCUAGUUGGCAGGGUAAAAGCCUACCAAGGCAAAGAUCGGUAGCCGGCCUGAGAGGGCACACGGCCACACUGGCACUGAAACACGGGCCAGACUCCUACGGGAGGCAGCAGUGGGGAAUCCUGCACAAUGGGGGCUAACCCUGAUGCAGCGACGCCGCGUGAGCGAUGAAGCCCUUCGGGGGUGUAAAGCUCUUUCGGCAGGGAAGAUGAUGACGGUACCUGCAGAAGCAGCUGCGGCUAACUACGUGCCAGCAGCCGCGGUAAUACGUAGGCAGCGAGCGUUGUUCGGAGUUACUGGGCGUAAAGGGUGUGUAGGCGGUUGUUUAAGUUUGGUGUGAAAUCUCCCGGCUCAACUGGGAGGGUGCGCCGAAUACUGAAUGACUCGAGUGCGGGAGAGGAGAGUGGAAUUCCUGGUGUAGCGGUGAAAUGCGUAGAUAUCAGGAGGAACACCGGUGGUGGUAGACGGCUCUCUGGACCGUAACUGACGGCUGGAGACACGACAAGCGUGGGUAGCAAACAGGAUUAGAUACCCUGGUAGUCCACGCCCUAAACGAUGGAUCUUUGGUGUAGCGGGUAGCUCCAUCCUGCCGUGCCGGAGCUAACGCGAUAAUCAUAGCCCGCCUGAGGGAGUACAGGUCGCAAGGCUGAAACUCAAAGGAAUUGACGGGGGCCCGCACAAGCGGUGGAGCAAUGUGGUUCAAUUCGACGCAACGCGAAGAACCUUACCUGGGCUCGAAGCUGCAGUAUGGAAGUCGGUGGAAACAUCGGCGUACCCCGCAAGGGGGCUCAGCUGCGUAGGUGGCUGCAUGGCUGUCGUCAGCUCGUGUCGUGAGAUGUUGGGUUAAGUCCCGCAACGAGCGCAACCCUUUGUCCAGUGUGCAUACACGUUAAGGGUGAGCAACUCUGCAGGAGAACUGCCCCGGAUAAGCGGAGGAAGGUGGGGAUGACGUCAAGUCCUCAUGGCCUUUAUGUCCAGGGCUACACACGUGCUACAAUGGUCCGGUACAAACCGUCCGCGAACCCGCGAGGGGGAGCCUAAUCGGAAAAAAGCCGAGCUCUCAGUUCGGAUUGCAGGCUUGCAACUCGCCUGCCAUGAAGCUGGAAUCGCUAGUUAAUCGGCAGAUCAGCACGCUGCGGUGAAUACGUUCCCGGGCCUUGUACACGCCGCCCGUCACAUCAUCGAAAUGUGGCUGUACUAGAAGUCGGUGAGGCCUGACCCGCAAGGGAGGGUAGCCGGCCCCAAGGUGUAUUACCAUGAUUGGGGGU
rnacentral:rRNA from 1 species